rnacentral:rRNA from 1 species
UACGUAGGGACCGAGCGUUGUCCGGAAUCAUUGGGCGUAAAGAGCGUGUAGGCGGCCACUUAAGUCCUGCGUGAAAUCUUGCGGCUCAACCGCAAGCGGUCGUGGGAAACUGGGUGGCUAGAGUGCGGGAGAGGAGAGUGGAAUUCCUGGUGUAGCGGUGGAAUGCGCAGAUAUCAGGAAGAACACCCGUGGCGAAGGCGGCUCUCUGGAACGCAACUGACGCUGAGACGCGAAAGCCGUGGGGAGCAAACAGG